rnacentral:lncRNA from 1 species
GCCCAAAUACUAAUUCUAUACACAUUUCACCUAUAAUCAUACUCAAAACAUGGACAUUAAUAUAAAAGUGUUAUUCCGUGAGUCAAAUUAAGUUUCAGGUAAGAACAAUCGACACAGAAAACAAACCACCCCUAGAGGUUUGCAUCAAGUGGUAUCAGAGCCACUUCUUGCUUGCAGGUCUGAGUCAUGUCACGUGGUAAAUCUUUCUUGGUGAGGAAACUUUUGGAAAAUCAUGUUAUGGAAGAUGAGGCCAACCAAAGGGACAACAUCUUUCAUUCUUGAUGUUUGGUCCAAGGUAGAGUAUGAAAGUGCAAAGUGUCAAGAUAUCACUUAGCUUGCCUAUGUUUUGAUGAAGACAAAGGAAUUAGUGAAAGCUUAAAGAUAACUCAACAAAUCAACAUGUCAAAGAAUCAAGAGCUUCAUGUCUAAACUAGAGUCUUAGAUAUGUGUCUUAGUUAUUGAGUCUAGGUUAGAUAAACCUAUAUGCAAAUCUCACAAGUUCUAAAAACUUUCAUAUCCUUUACGAGAGACAUGCCAUCUAGCUUAUUAUAUGUUCAUGCAUUAAUCAUACAUAUUAUUUGCAUAUUUUAGGCAUAACAUAAUGGUAAAAUAUGUAUAGUUGAUAAGCAUAACAUAUAGGUAGUUUACCAUUCAAUAUCUUAACUGAAAAUAUGGUAGUUAAUCGAUUAGGUAAGGCUUUAAUCGAUUAACGUGAAAACAGUUUUAAUCAGUUUCAACAUAUAACUGAAAAACAGAAUUCAGUUAUUCUAAACAGCGCGUUAAUCGUUUAACAAGGCACUUAAUCGAUUAACUAGGAAUAAAACAACUUUUCUAUAUAAAUUGUGUUUUUACACCAUGCUUCAUACAUUCAUUCGUUCAUUUUUAGAAUUGCUAAGUUGCAUAUUUUCGUGCUCAUUGUAUGUCAUAUAGGCAGAGAGAAUUGCAUGUGAGAAUAGUUAGAGAUAGUAUCAUGCUUAGGGAUUAAAAUGUCAUCCAUUGCAUGUGAUUAAAUAUGUUCAUCAUUCUAUCUUAUCUUGCAUGAUUCUUUCAUUUCUUUUCGAAAUUUCUUAGGUUAGAAAUUACACGUUCUUCAUUAUUUUGAUCUUAUACAUAUUCAUAAUAAUUUGUGAGAUUUGUAUAGGGUGUAUAGUUUGUUCUUAAUUUUAAUAUUUGAUUUAUUUUAUGCUUCACAUUACUCUGUUUUUGUUGUAUUUUUGUAACAAGGAAAGUUGUCUCUCUCAAGAUCGGAAGCAGAGGACUGAAUGCAGUUUUGCAAUGGACCGCAAAAUGAACUAGUAUAUAAACCUUGUUACAGGUUGUUUCUUACCCUUAUCUCUUUAUUGUUUUAAAUUGUUUUUAAUUGCCUAUUGUAGCUAAUAAUUUGAAUAUAAUAACUCUGUCAUAUAAAGAUCAUUUAUGUUCAAAUAUAUUUGUUAUAUCAUUUCUGUAUAAUCUGUGAUUGGUUGUGUGAUCGAGCCAUUCAGCAACUGUAUGUUAAGUGCGAUUUAAUCGAUUAAGGCAAUCCUUUAAUCGAUUAACUAGGUGAUUUUCCAGAAUAGGGCUUUGCUGCGAAUAGCGGUAUUUGGGAACCGCGACACCUAUUCACCCCCCUUUUAGGUGUAUUCUAUCACUGAUACCUAAUAAGUAGUAUCAGAGCUAGUACGUUUUGCUAGCUCAACCGUAUACGCGUGAUCCUUGAGGUAAAAUAACUAGGUUCCACCAACGCCUUUGGCGGUGAUGGUACAUCCAUUAACCGUCCUCCCGUAUUCAGUGGCGAAGAAUAUGCCUACUGGAAAGUCCGCAUGAAAAUAUUUAUAGAGGCCAUCGACUCGGAUAUUUGGGAAUCCAUAGUCAGCAGGCCCUUUGUUCCACAACAUUUAGUGGACGAUGAACCGAAAGAAAAACCGAAAAGUCUAUGGACCGAUGAUGAACGUAAAAAGGUUCAAUAUAACCUACGCGCUAAAAACAUAAUCACAUAAGCGCUAUCCUAUGAUGAGUUCUUUCUGAUUUCGCAGUGCCAAAAUGUCAAAAAAAUGUGGGACACUUUACAAGUGACUCACGAAGGCACUAGCGAAGUCAAGCGUAUCAGGCUCAAUGCCCUGACACAUGAGUAUGAGCUAUUUCGUAUGUUACCGAGUGAAUCUAUUAGUGACAUGCAAAAAUGAUUCACUCGUAUAGUUAACCAUUUAGUUGCUCUAGAUAAAUAUUUUACCAAUAGAGAACUUACUAACAAAGUUUUACACUGUCUUAACAGGAGAUGGCACCCCAAAGUAACAACUAUCAUGGAAUCCAAGGAUCUUGACUCCAUUACUUUGGUGAUAUUGUUUGGAAAGCUUCAAGAGCACAGGAUGGAGCUUGGACACCUGACUAUGCACGAAGAAUCAGAUCGCAAAAAGAAAAGUAUAUCUCUCAAAGCAACAACGUCUCAAUCCAUGGAAGAGAGAAAAGAAGACGAGUCUGAUUCAGAUAUGGAUUAUGAAACUUUGAGCCUUCUCGUACACAAAUUUGGGAAAUUCCUAAAGAAAGGAGGCUUCAAACGUUUCUAGAAGAAAGAAGCGCGCGAGUCAACCAGGAAAGGCAAGGGUAACAAAGAGCGCUUCACUUGCCAUGAAUGUGGUAAGCCAGGACACAUUAGGUUUCAAUGUCCUACUUACCUCAAGAAGGUUGAUUCAGAUAAGAGCACUCCUCGAGACUUCAAGUCAGAGAAAGCCUAUAUAGUAUGGGAUGUACCAGAGGAGGACACGACAUCGAGCACCUCAUAUGCGACACUAUAUUGUUAAAUAAUUUAAAUAUAUAGUGAGGUUAUGGUUCGAGUUGCCUCUAACUUCUUCGAAAAUGAGAAGAAGGUCUACAACCAACACCAUCUCUAAACUAUUAAUUCCAUAUAUAGAUAAAUAAUAAGCUAUUUUAUCACUAAACUUAUAUGUAUAAACAAUUAGAAACUAUUCUACCAAAUAAAGUUUAUGAGAUUUUUAUAGUGAGGUUAUGGUUCGAGUAGUCUCUAACUCCCCUAGAAAAAAGGAGAAGGUCUACGACCAACACCGUUUUUAAGCUAUUAGUCUCAUUAAAUGGAAACAAUUACAUAUUAAUCAAUUCAAUAAAUCAAUACUUUCAAACCUAUCAGUAUUUUCUAAAUCACUAACAAUUAACCAAAAUAGCUAAACAACUUUCGAACUAUAACUACGUAGUCUUGAUUUCCCUAUUACACCCGGGGAUACGUAGGAGCAAGAUAACCUCUUGUCAGAUGCAAAUAUGAAAAUAAAAAUAUUCUGUUUUACUAAUUGAAUUUUAAAUGAAUAAUUGUUAAGGGUAAAAAAAUCUGUUUUGAUUAGCGAGGGUACCGUUUUAAUACAGGCGGACAGGGUGCUAAUACCUUCCCCGAUCCGUAAUCGACUCCCGAAUUCAGAAUCUCUAUUCAAAAACCACUUUUAUCCAAAUUGGGCAUAAACGAGAGUUUCUCUACAUUUUAACCGCAAAAAAAUGUAGUGGCGACUCCAAAUCAAUUGGAAGAGGUAGAAGUCGAGUUUCCCUCUCCCUAAGUCGCAGGGCCGGUCUUCCAACCGAAAAUCGGUUCGCGACAAACCUCACCUUUACCCAUUUUGCACCUCAACUCAUCCCAUCUUUUUGUCAAAUCCACAAGAAACCCCUCCCAAUUCCAAACCCUAAGCUUUAGGUUCCCUCUCUUAUCCUUCUUCUCCUCUCAUUACUCACGGUUUUCAAUCAACAAUGGAAAGAAGACGUUCAAAAGGGAAUUGGUAAAAGGCACAAUUAAGAGGAUAUUAGCAAUGAGUCAUAGUUGUUACAAUCAGCCAAAGGGAAUUGGUAAAAGGCAAACCAAGAAUCCCCUCAACAGUUACAAUAUGAGGCAUUAUGAGAAAAGAGUGGCAAUUAAAUCAAUCAUAUGUGGGAUAAUGGGGCAGCCGUGAGUGACACAGCAAAGGCCAAUUACCAUUCCAUUUCAGUUACAAUCAUCAUUGGCAAAUAGGAAACAGCUCAACAGUUAUUACAUGCUCAUAAUCAGUCUUAAACGGCAGUUUCAAAGAGAACAAACAGAAAGCCAAAAGUUUCUGGUAGCAUUGAAUCAUGAUUGGCAACCUGAGAAUCCAUUACCAUGUAAUUUUCAAACCAUUAUAAAAGGGAGAAGCAGGUUAUAACACACACACACGUACAGAGGGAGAGCAUACUGAUAUGAGAUUACACAUACACAGUGAUAGAAAGAGAGGUGAAUACACAACCAUACAAAAACUAGAGAACAGUCCAUACACAGCUGUUAUAGAGACAUCACAUAAGUCUAAGAAUACCUACACUUGCAACACGCAUAUCAUUAUCAAAGAGUGAUAUAUCACACCCAUAAAUCAACAAUCAGACAACAGACCGCACAAUUAUCAAAAAGAGGACGCAUUCAGAACACACAUCACAACACAGAGAGGGAGGGAAUAUCCAAAAUUUGCAUAUCUUACACAACACAGAUAACAACUGAGCAAAGGCAACAUAUACAUAUUCACAGACCAUCAUAUACAUCAAGGAAGAGGCUCAAAAAAGGGUAGCAGGACCAAAACGAAAAAACAUUCUACAUUACAGGUUCAUCAUUCUCUUUAAUAGGUAUUAUUGAUUUCAUUUUGUGUAUCCCAUCCAUAUAAACCUGUAAUCAUAAGAUAAACUCAGCGCUUUGCUGAAAACUGGCUAACAUAUCAAAUUCAAACAUAAAAUACAUCCUUAUAUUCACUCGGCUUCAACAGGGAUAUAUAUCCAUAAAUAUGAAAGAGAUGAUGUAGCAUGAUAAUAUAGCUCAUUUCCGGAUAAAUGUAUGCCGAAAUUAGUUACACGUAAUCAUCCAAUUUCAUGUCAAAAGGAUUAAAUAGAAAAGGAGUAAGGUUUAUUACCGAGACCCUUUGUAUUUAUGCCGAUUCUGAAUCCCUACCUUACUUCGGUGACCACCGUGAGAACGAGAGAAUCGUAAGAGAAUGAUAAAUGAAGGAGAAGAGAAAAGGGGAUUUAGGGAUUCCAACCCCCUUUACCGUUAACAAACGAAGAAGAACUCGCGAGGAGGAGAGGAUGCAUAACCCGCCACCACCUCUUUUGGAAGCUGAAGCCGUCGCCAUUGGAGAAGGAGAAUCCACCACCAUCGCCGUCGAAGGAGUGAAGAAGAAGGGAGGCUAUGGAUUGAAAUUCCCUUUUUGUUUUUUUCUCCAAUUUAGGGUCAAGAAACCCGUAUGGUGUUAAUCCCCUCGUCCUUCCUUAUUUCAUUUUUUCUCAUACACCUUUGUUUUUUUAGUUAAUUGUUUG